rnacentral:rRNA from 1 species
GAUGAACGCUGGCGGCGUGCCUAAUACAUGCAAGUCGAGCGAACGGACGAGAAGCUUGCUUUUCUGAUGUUAGCGGCGGACGGGUGAGUAACACGUGGAUAACCUACCUAUAAGACUGGGAUAACUUCGGGAAACCGGAGCUAAUACCGGAUAAUAUUUUGAACCGCAUGGUUCAAAAGUGAAAGACGGUCUUGCUGUCACUUAUAGAUGGAUCCGCGCUGCAUUAGCUAGUGGUAAGGUAACGGCUUACCAAGGCAACGAUGCAUAGCCGACCUGAGAGGGGGAUCGGCCACACGGGAACUGGGACACGGUCCAGACGCCUACGGGAGGCAGCAGUAGGGAAUCGUCCGCAAUGGGCGAAAGCCUGACGGAGCAACGCCGCGUGAGUGAUGAAGGUCUUCGGAUCGUAAAACUCUGUUAUUAGGGAAGAACAUAUGUGUAAGUAACUGUGCACAUCUUGACGGUACCUAAUCAGAAAGCCACGGCUAACUACGUG